rnacentral:sRNA from 1 species
AGAGGUAAUAUUAGAGGUUAAAUGUCAUUUUGCAUGUUAAAAGCCCCUGGGCCUAGUUUUUUAGUGAUGAGGCACAGAAUUUUGUAGGUAACUUCUUUAAGGUUGUAAGUGUGUCUCUUGCUCCUAUGCAAUUACUCAAGACAACUAGUCCUUCAACUCUUUUUUUCUUUCUUUCUUUCUUUUUUUUUUUUUUAGUCAUCAACACAGGGCCUGUCAUGCUCAGAACAGGAUUGGCUGGGUGAAGGGGUGUGGCACCAGUAACCCUCAGGAAUACAGGCCACAGUGCUAAUGAAGAGCCCCAAGGAAAGAAAGACCUACCCAUCGCUCUGAAUCCUCUUCCCCACCAUGCCACAGACCUGAGGGCACGUGACCCGGGAGUGUGCAUCAGAAGAUAAUACUACCUUCAGAGAACUCUACUUAUAGGCAAGUAGAGGAACUGGACAGACAAGAACAGUCCUGCCAGUUGAUCAAUGACUUGGGGUGUUUUCAACGAGAUGCUUCGUUUAAAGUGCUUACCACAAGCCAGUUAUUGUUCUAAGUGCUUCAGAACGAAGACCUGGUCCUAUUCAUCGGUAUCCUGGCAGGAAACAGAUGGCGUACACAAAUUGGAUACACUGAAGUGUACCGACUGAAAAGGCAAAGCGCUGCAUGGCUCUGGCGAAUCCAGUAAGGGAUGGUGCAACACCCCGCCUCACCGCAGCACGGCGCCUGUCACCCUACACUGCCUGCAGGAACUCAUAAGGGGACCCUCACACACACACCCGGAUGUACCCCAGGGAGAGCUUCUUCCCAGAGGCAUCUUGGCAAGAGCCUUGGGUUGCAGACAAUUCCUGGCCACCUGGUAGAAAGCGAAGGGUGAAUAAACACCUCCAACCUCACUCUUCCCCUGCCUUGGGCUCUCUGGCUGCCGUCUCCUCUCAGCUAACCAACAAAAGACCAGAAGGCAAAGCGCCCCUUGAUGCCGGAUGUAUGGGGUUGGUCUUCGAAAGCAUAGAACGGGGAAGAGAACUGUUGAAAUCUGGGCCAAAGGGAUCCUAUGGGUACUCUCACAUCACCCCUACCUUAACGGUCCUUAAUUACAUGCAUUCUACAGAACGGACACACAGGGAGGUUACGAACUUCUUCCAAAACAGAACAGACAAGAAAAAACAACAACAACAACAACAACAACAACAACAACAACAAAAACUUGUUCAAGGUCAUAGGUGCUCACACUUGAACACGUAAAUGUUCAAGGUCACAAGAGCUCAUAGGUGACAGACUUAGGUGUUCCUCCCAGGUAUUUUAUUCUUUCAUAUUUCACACUAUGCACUUACAUAUCUUACUAUAGAAUUCUCUUUUUAAACAGAGGCAAAACACAUUUCUUUGGGAGCUGAAGAGAUGGCUCAGCAGUUAGAGCGCUUGCUGUUCUUGUAAAGGACCUGAGUUCAUCCCCAGAACCCACAAGUAUCACCCUCUCCUGGUUGCCACGGACAUCUGUCAAAGAGCAUUUUACUAAUGGAUCAAUUCCGUGGUAGACCUACUCCCCGGAACCUUCUUGACAGAGUUUGGUAGAUUGCAGCCACAGGAAACUCAGAGGAAGGAACUUUGGUCGAGUUUGCGAGGGCCCAGUUACAAAUGUGGACGACGAAUUCAUUAAGUUUUCCACACACGACUUAUUUUAGAUUCCAAAAUAAUCGUGGGACCCUGGCCCUUCUUAAUAAAGGGAUGAGCUCCCGUUGUAGAUUUGGGGUGGGUAUUCGAGCUAUUUAAAAAAAAGUCUUGAGUUUGGUAUAAAACAAAUGCACCCCAGCAAAUAACUGUAAAGCAGGUUCUAAAAGAAAGCCACACUUGGUAUCUGUCACGGGGUUGAAAUGGUUUUGAAUAAACCCGGCUCACAGAAGACUCAGAUUCACACGGCCAGCAUCACGGCUAAUUGCAGCAGGACUUCCUUGGAAGUAUUCGUAUUGCCAACGAGUUUACUCUUUAUCAGAGCUCCUGUUCUCUGUUCUGUCAGUUCAUACAAAUGCCUUUUAUACCUCUACCUUCUAGCGUUUCCACACAUUAACACCCCGAGCAGACUGCACGGCUUCCAGCUCCCUGAAGCAGAUGUCAUGGCCUUCAGCUGCUCCUUCUCUGCACUUGUAACUCCCGUUCUUCUGCCUUCCCUAGAAGGAGGGUCUCCCUCCCCGCUGCAAAGUUUUAGGGUUUAUAGACACAUUUUCUGAAAUCUUUACCAUGCAAGUCUAGCAUGGUUUGUUCAUAUGUGUAUUUAUGAAACCGAACUACUAUGCCUUCUUUUUUAAACAAUGGUUACGUUUAUUUAUUCGGCCGGGAGGGGGCAUGCACCUGCCUUGGCAUGCAUAUAGAAGCCAAGGGACAGCCCGUGGGAGUUGGUUUUCUCCUUUUAUCACACAGGUAGUCCGCAGAGACUGAACUCAGUUCAUCGGGACUGAUAAUAAGUGUCUUUACCUGCUGAGCCACCUCGCUGGCUCGAAUUGGAAACUGAAAUCAUAGACUGCUGAUGAAUUUUCAGAUAUUAUUGGAUGAAAAACUGUUGCUGGGCCAACUAGGGAGAAUCCAUUUGCAUUGUGAUGACUGACUUCCGUAACUAAACUUGAAGUCUCCUUCAAUACUCACUGUGCUUUUCUCUGGCCACCACUUGCAGAAAGAAACUCAGAGGGACAUCUGUCUGUCAUCUCAGCACUUGGGAGAUGGAGGCUAACGGGUCAAAAGUUCAAAGCCACCUUCUGCUGCAUAUUGAGACCAAAGUCAGCCUGACCUAUGUGAGGAUUUGUUGAGGGCAGGGGAAGAUUAACUCAAAGAGGAGUCUACUAACAAGAUUGAUGCUUUGCAGUUUACUAAUAGGAAGAUCUCUGAGUCCAGUAAACAUCUGGUGUAAUUAUUUCAGAGGUUAGGUAGAUUACAUAGGAUGGCCUACACAACCAGAUUCCCUAAAUUCUUAAUGAAUUCAUUGGCAUUUUGUUUCUUAUAAUGAGCCCUUUGAUAAUUCAUUCAGUUUGAGGCAUAAUAAAAUUAUAUUCAUGCUUAAAACAAUGCAAUAAUCUAAGUAUUAUUUCUAAUUACUUCUCCCUGAAUAAAUAUUAAAAUUAGAAUAUGUUUAGCUCAUAUUAACAUAAAUGGGGGUA